rnacentral:rRNA from 1 species
UACGUAGGUGGCGAGCGUUGUCCGGAUUUACUGGGCGUAAAGAGCGCGCAGGCGGUCGUACAAGUCGCGUGUGAAAGCCCCCGGCUCAACUGGGGAGGGUCACGCGAUACUGUUCGACUCGAAGGCAGGAGAGGGAAGCGGAAUUCCCGGUGUAGUGGUGAAAUGCGUAGAUAUCAAGUGGAACACCAGUGGCGAAGGCGAGUCUCUGGACAUUUCCUGACGCUGAGGCACGAAAGCCAGGGGAGCAAACGGG